CAUGUUCAUUUCAACUGCAUAUAGCCCGUUAGUCUCUACUUUGUGUAUAAUCAAGGGGGAUUGUGGGAAACUGUGUACCAUGUUGCAUGGCAACAGCAGGGUCACAGUUCACUGGAAACCAGGAAGUGAUCAGAUCCAUGGGGAGAAGAACACAGCACAUGUAUACUCCUUAACAUAUAUGUAUGUUACACAGCUGAUUUUACCAAAUCUAACGUGCGGCAAUGUGUUAUAUAUGGACCGUCCCACAAUCCUAUGAGAAUGGUGCCUCCUGACCCUUCCCCAGUGACAGAUGAUAUGGAGAGAAUGGUCUGGCAUGCUGAGAUUCAGCACGCCCAAUUCUUUUGUUCUCAGGAGAGCAGCCUUCUUCCCUUUGCCUAUUCAGAGAACAUGCACACUUUGCUGAAUUGAGCGCCCAUGUAUAUAGGGGAAGGAGAAGACAUAGCAGAAUCCGAAACGCACCAAGCAUUGAUUGAUUGAUGGAUGAAGUAAAUGUCACUAAAUAGACCAGGCUGAGAUCGGAACGAUCCUUGAACCCCCAGAAGCUGAAAGAUGAAGAGCUGGAGAAGAUGCGUCUGUG